rnacentral:tRNA from 1 species
GCCUGGGUGGCUCAGUCGGUUAAGCGUCUGACUUCGGCUCAGGUCAUGAUCUCACGGUCCGUGAGUUCGAGCCCCGCAUCGGGCU